AUGUACUCUCAAUUUCCCCUAUAAAUACUUGCGAAGAAAACUCAAGAGAAGAUCGAGUAGCUAGAGCUAUUACUCCUUGGACAUUCAACCUAUUACGCCCUCUCAACCCUUACACCCUACCAAAACAGAAAAAAAAAAAAAAAAAAGAGGAUCAAUACAACUAUAUUCAAGUGCUAGCUCUAUAUAUGUCGAGGCUGAGAGAUCAGUAGGUUGUAUUUGUGCGUUGUUCAUGAGAAUCAAAGUUGAGUGCUGAGCACGAUGGAGAAGCAGGGCACGUGCAUUUCUAACUCAUACACGCUGGGGCAAUGGCGCAUCUUAAGUUUUCUUGUCAUCCGCCCAUCGUGUCUGCACAAACACUGCUGCUGAUAUGUUAAUUGCAGCAUAUCCGGUUAUAUAUUCCCAAGCUUCAAAUUCCAGGUAGACUAAUCUGCACAACAUUUUUGUCUCUGAAAUUUCAUUUCCAUUUCCCUUAAAUUAAUGGAUAUUAUUAUAAUCUCUCUGGAGCUAGCUAAAAUUCAAAACCCCAAUGAUUGGAACUCAUUAUCAAGCUGUUUUUGUGACAUGAGAGUGAAAUUAAUUGUCAAAAGAAGAAGAUAACAACGAAUCUAGUGGUGUGUAUUAAUUAUAUAUGAUCAGAUUCUGUUGUUGAAAAAGUAAAAUAUAUAUUAUCGAGCUAGCUAGAGUAGUACGUCCUGUUGUGAGGCAGCACCAUUAGAACACGUGAUUGUGGAUGAAAGUGAAGCACACAGUUAAUGGGUGAUGUGUAUGGUCACCAUCUCCCUGCUCAUGACAACUUCAACAAUCUUCAACUUGACAUAUAGUGCAUCUGCAUUAUCAUUUUCCGAGUAUCUCCCAAUAUUUUCCAGUUUGUUGAACUGGAUAAUUAGCUUUUAAUGCUGGAACCACAACUUGUAAUGCAUACUAGAUCUGCACUGCAGCCUAUUAAUUUUUCUGCGUAAAAUUUUAAUAAUCAUAUUACUUAUACUCAACGUUAAUUGACAUAUAGGGGUAUAUAUAUAAUGGCUGUGGGGCCUCGAUCCAAUUUCAUAUCCAUCAAUGAAUUUUAUGGCUUUUUUAUGUUGA